rnacentral:rRNA from 1 species
CCUACGGGUGGCAGCAGUGAGGAAUAUUGGUCAAUGGGCGAGAGCCUGAACCAGCCAAGUAGCGUGAAGGAUGACUGCCCUAUGGGUUGUAAACUUCUUUUAUAUGGGAAUAAAAUGUUCCACGUGUGGGAUUUUGUAUGUACCAUAUGAAUAAGGAUCGGCUAACUCCGUGCCAGCAGCCGCGGUAAUACGGAGGAUCCGAGCGUUAUCCGGAUUUAUUGGGUUUAAAGGGAGCGUAGGUGGAUUGUUAAGUGAGUUGUGAAAGUGUGCGGAUCAACCGUAAAAGUGCAGUUGAAACUGGCAGUCUUGAGUACAGUAGAGGUGGGCGGAAUUCGUGGUGUAGCGGUGAAAUGCUUAGAUAUCACGAAGAACUCCGAUUGCGAAGGCAGCUCACUGGACUGCAACUGACACUGAGGCUCGAAAGUGUGGGUAUCAAACAGGAUUAGAUACCCGAGUAGUC